rnacentral:lncRNA from 10 species
AGGUGCGCUUUGCUUCCUAACCCGUUGCCGGGUUGGAGAUUCCACCUCCGAAGUUUUCUUUCUGACUUUUGAUUUUACAUUCCUAGUACAGUGGAGAAGCCCAGGCGGCCUAGAAUCCAGUGUCGUCCGUGAGUGCUUGGCUGGUGUUCAAGUGCAUCUUCCAGCCUGAGACCGCGUGGACUCGCUCAUCGUGAGGGCGAGAGGAGGAUAAGCCCAUUGGGCUGUCGGCUGAGAGUGAGGUGCGGGGUAAGGGAGUAGAUUUAUAGCUAUAGUGACUAAAAAUAAAAGGAUGUUGGCUUAGGUGGAAAACCUCUCUGCUUUGGGAAGCUGGAGCAGCUUGUGGGCAUUGCUUCAACCAGCUGAUCCCACUUUCCAUUCAUUGCUUUGUUUCAGGAGGUUCUUUAUUUGUAAACGUCCCCUGCAAUUUUUUACACACCCAAGCAGCUCCUUAAAUGUAUUACUGUAUAUGUGGUAGUAUAAAAUAUUUAUGGGUUCAUUCCAGCAAGUGUUUAUGGAGCGUCCACAAAGUUGCCCUGGAGUUCAUGGCACUAAGUGAAAGAGACAAAGUCGUCAGUCUCCCAGGGAUUAUAUAGAGCAGCGGCCCCCAACCUUUUGGUCAACAGGGACCGGUUUCGUGGUGGGGGGGUGGAUGAUGGUUUCAGGAUGAUUCAAAGGCAUUACAUUUAUCAUUAGAUUCUCAUAAGGAGCACACAACUUAGAUCCCUCCAAUGCGCAGUUCACAAUAGGUUCCCCGCUCCUAUGAGAAUCUGAUGCCACCGCUGAUCUGAGGGAGGCGGAGCUCAGGAGGUAAUGCUCCCUUGCUUGCUGCUCACCUCCUGCUGUGCCUCCUGGUUCCUAACAGGCCAGGGAUUGGUUCUAUCCGCAGCCUGGGGCUUAAGGACCCCUGAGGGAACCAGACGAAAAUGCUCGUAUUAGUUGGUGAAAAGUGGUAUCAGGAAGUUAUUACAAUAAUCCAGCCAUGGUGAUAGUGGUGUGGGCCAGAGUGGUGGAAAUCGAGGUGAUGAAAACAACAAUGAAUUCUGUGCGUAUUUUAGAAGUAGAAUUAUAAGAUUUGUGGAUAUGUUAGUUUUGGAGUGUGAGGUCAAAGGCGUUUUGAGCAACUUGUAAGAAACCAUUUUUAAGGCGGAAGUCGGGAAUUUUGUUUUUUAUAUGUUGAAUUUGAAAUCCUUAUUAAACAUCCAAGUGGAGAGGCUGGAUAGACAAUUAAA